GAAAUGAGAGGAGCAAUUCCACAAGAAUUUGGUGUCGAGUUGCACUUCAUCAGUGACUACAACCACAGCAAGCACUUCGAAGGGCGAACAGACGAUCACGUCAUGUACGUGACGCUGUUUAUGCAUUCGGUCAGCCUUCGCAUGGACCAGCUUACUCCGCCUGUCCCCAUCGGUAUAACAAAAAUUCAGGUGACGUCAAUGGAUAAAGAAGAGUAUGUUGCGCUGUGGGAUAAUGGUGACCUCAUUGGUAACGAGACGCUUAAGAAGCUGAAUGAUGUAAUACGAAAAGACAAUGACUACCAGAAGUCGGACGUGGUCUACA
rnacentral:lncRNA from 1 species